rnacentral:lncRNA from 1 species
AAAAGGACUGAACUCUAAAUUCUGGACUUGAAGACUGUCUAGAAUAAUGAGCUCUGGACAGAGUCCUCCUCCUGUAAGAUGAUUCGUACCCAUCCCUGUCCUUGUUUCUACUGUAAUAACAUCGCUAUCACCAGAACUGUAAGAUUGCUCCUGUUCUUGUGUCUUCACUGUCUCCAUUUUCUCAUAAGAACCUAAGUCCUCAGAAUCAGAGGACAGUUCAACAAGUUCUGGGGUCCUCUCAGCUAGUGGUUUAACAAACCCAACAAUGACACAAUUAUCUGAAGAAUCAUCACUGUCAUUAUUUAGGUCGUCAUUGGUUUGUACUCCUUGUAUCUGAGACGUGGCUCCUCCUGUGACAAGUUCUUCAUCUGAACUGUCAGAAGUAUUUAAAAGAGAAGACAUAGUAACGUGUACCUGCUCUGAGCUUGAGUAAGAUGGUCCUGGAGUUUCAUCAUCCCAUGGUGCCUGACUAACAGUGGCUACAUUAAUAUCCAGCUCUUGGGUCUCAGCCUCAUCUGGAGAUAUUGUUAUGACUGAAGAAUCAGAAUGGCUGCCUUCUUCGUAUGAAGGAGCAGGGCAAUCAUAAUUGGCAUGCUGGUCAAAGGCUGCCAUGUUAAAAGGAGAUCGGGCAAAACUGAUAAAUUCAUGUAUAAAAUGCUCAGUUCGAUUAAGUAAAAAUGGUCUUAAAUCAGACACAAAUGCCUGACUCUCCAAGUCAUAGCGAGUAACAUUACUCAUGAUAAUAUGCUGGACAAUAUUCACUAAAGAUCCAUGAGCUCCAAAAAGAACUGUAAGUUCACGUUUUAACCAGGGGACUAAUCUGUGAAGGCAAGCUGGAUUUCUACGGAAAAAUUCAGCUGAAAUAUCCCUGUAGCGGCCACCAUCUUCAAUAUUUCUAACUCGAGCACCAGCACGAUAAAGAGUUCGUCUAAAAUUAAUAAUAUCUUGUUCUUGAAUUUUCCGCAAAGAUCUUUCAUCUGCCGUAGUUGGCCUCCUUACUGCAAUCUGUCUCAUAAACUGAGGAAUUUCAACAUCUCUAGGUCUUGUUGAAAUGCCUAACCCUUCAAACAGUACUCCACUAUCCGGUGGAGUUGUUGUUCUU